GAUGAACGCUGGCGGCGUGCCUAAUACAUGCAAGUCGAGCGAACGGACGAGAAGCUUGCUUCUCUGAUGUUAGCGGCGGACGGGUGAGUAACACGUGGAUAACCUACCUAUAAGACUGCGAUAACUUCGGGAAACCGGAGCUAAUACCGGAUAAUAUUUUGAACCGCAUGGUUCAAAAGUGAAAGACGGUCUUGCUGUCACUUAUAGAUGGAUCCGCGCUGCAUUAGCUAGUUGGUAAGGUAACGGCUUACCAAGGCAACGAUGCAUAGCCGACCUGAGAGGGUGAUCGGCCACACUGGAACUGAGACACGGUCCAGACUCCUACGGGAGGCAGCAGUAGGGAAUCUUCCGCAAUGGGCGAAAGCCUGACGGAGCAACGCCGCGUGAGUGAUGAAGGUCUUCGGAUCGUAAAACUCUGUUAUUAGGGAAGAACAUAUGUGUAAGUAACUGUGCACAUCUUGACGGUACCUAAUCAGAAAGCCACGGCUAACUACGUG
rnacentral:rRNA from 1 species